CGGCGAUGUCCGAAUGGGGAAACCCAGUGCAAUUCGUUGCACUAUCGUUAACUGAAUACAUAGGUUAACGAGGCGAACCGGGGGAACUGAAACAUCUAAGUACCCCGAGGAAAAGAAAUCAACCGAGAUUCCCCCAGUAGCGGCGAGCGAACGGGGAGCAGCCCAGAGUCUGAAUCAGCUUGUGUGUUAGUGGAACGGUCUGGAAAGUCCGACGGUACAGGGUGAUAGUCCCGUACACCAAAAUGCACAGGCUGUGAACUCGAAGAGUAGGGCGGGACACGUGGUAUCCUGUCUGAAUAUGGGGGGACCAUCCUCCAAGGCUAAAUACUCCUGACUGACCGAUAGUGAACCAGUACCGUGAGGGAAAGGCGAAAAGAACCCCGGCGAGGGGAGUGAAAAAGAACCUGAAACCGUGUACGUACAAGCAGUGGGAGCACCUUCGGGUGUGACUGCGUACCUUUUGUAUAAUGGGUCAGCGACUUAUAUUCUGUAGCAAGGUUAACCGUAUAGGGGAGCCGCAGGGAAACCGAGUCUUAACUGGGCGUUAAGUUGCAGGGUAUAGACCCGAAACCCGGUGAUCUAGCCAUGGGCAGGUUGAAGGUUGGGUAACACUAACUGGAGGACCGAACCGACUAAUGUUGAAAAAUUAGCGGAUGACUUGUGGCUGGGGGUGAAAGGCCAAUCAAACCGGGAGAUAGCUGGUUCUCCCCGAAAGCUAUUUAGGUAGCGCCUCGUGAACUCAUCUUCGGGGGUAGAGCACUGUUUCGGCUAGGGGGUCAUCCCGACUUACCAACCCGAUGCAAACUACGAAUACCGAAGAAUGUUAUCACGGGAGACACACGGCGGGUGCUAACGUCCGUCGUGAAGAGGGAAACAACCCAGACCGCCAGCUAAGGUCCCAAAGUCAUGGUUAAGUGGGAAACGAUGUGGGAAGGCACAGACAGCCAGGAUGUUGGCUUAGAAGCAGCCAUCAUUUAAAGAAAGCGUAAUAGCUCACUGGUCGAGUCGGCCUGCGCGGAAGAUGUAACGGGGCUAAACCAUGCACCGAAGCUGCGGCAGCGACACUAUGUGUUGUUGGGUAGGGGAGCGUUCUGUAAGCCUGCGAAGGUGACCUGUGAGGGUUGCUGGAGGUAUCAGAAGUGCGAAUGCUGACAUAAGUAACGAUAAAGCGGGUGAAAAGCCCGCUCGCCGGAAGACCAAGGGUUCCUGUCCAACGUUAAUCGGGGCAGGGUGAGUCGACCCCUAAGGCGAGGCCGAAAGGCGUAGUCGAUGGGAAACAGGUUAAUAUUCCUGUACUUGGUGUUACUGCGAAGGGGGGACGGAGAAGGCUAUGUUAGCCGGGCGACGGUUGUCCCGGUUUAAGCAUGUAGGCUGGUUAUCCAGGCAAAUCCGGAUAAUCAAGGCUGAGGUGUGAUGACGAGGCACUACGGUGCUGAAGUAACAAAUGCCCUGCUUCCAGGAAAAGCCUCUAAGCAUCAGGUAACAUCAAAUCGUACCCCAAACCGACACAGGUGGUCAGGUAGAGAAUACCAAGGCGCUUGAGAGAACUCGGGUGAAGGAACUAGGCAAAAUGGUGCCGUAACUUCGGGAGAAGGCACGCUGGUGUGUAGGUGAAGCCCCUGCGGGUGGAGCUGAGACCAGUCGAAGAUACCAGCUGGCUGCAACUGUUUAUUAAAAACACAGCACUGUGCAAACACGAAAGUGGACGUAUACGGUGUGACGCCUGCCCGGUGCCGGAAGGUUAAUUGAUGGGGUUAUCCGUAAGGAGAAGCUCUUGAUCGAAGCCCCGGUAAACGGCGGCCGUAACUAUAACGGUCCUAAGGUAGCGAAAUUCCUUGUCGGGUAAGUUCCGACCUGCACGAAUGGCGUAAUGAUGGCCAGGCUGUCUCCACCCGAGACUCAGUGAAAUUGAACUCGCUGUGAAGAUGCAGUGUACCCGCGGCAAGACGGAAAGACCCCGUGAACCUUUACUAUAGCUUGACACUGAACAUUGAGCCUUGAUGUGUAGGAUAGGUGGGAGGCUUUGAAGCGUGGACGCCAGUCUGCGUGGAGCCAACCUUGAAAUACCACCCUUUAAUGUUUGAUGUUCUAACGUUGGCCCCUGACCGGGGUUGCGGACAGUGUCUGGUGGGUAGUUUGACUGGGGCGGUCUCCUCCUAAAGCGUAACGGAGGAGCACGAAGGUUAGCUAAUCCUGGUCGGACAUCAGGAGGUUAGUGCAAUGGCAUAAGCUAGCUUGACUGCGAGCGUGACGGCGCGAGCAGGUGCGAAAGCAGGUCAUAGUGAUCCGGUGGUUCUGAAUGGAAGGGCCAUCGCUCAACGGAUAAAAGGUACUCCGGGGAUAACAGGCUGAUACCGCCCAAGAGUUCAUAUCGACGGCGGUGUUUGGCACCUCGAUGUCGGCUCAUCACAUCCUGGGGCUGAAGUAGGUCCCAAGGGUAUGGCUGUUCGCCAUUUAAAGUGGUACGCGAGCUGGGUUUAGAACGUCGUGAGACAGUUCGGUCCCUAUCUGCCGUGGGCGCUGGAGAAUUGAGGGGGGCUGCUCCUAGUACGAGAGGACCGGAGUGGACGCAUCACUGGUGUUCGGGUUGUCAUGCCAAUGGCACUGCCCGGUAGCUAAAUGCGGAAGAGAUAAGUGCUGAAAGCAUCUAAGCACGAAACUUGCCCCGAGAUGAGUUCU
rnacentral:rRNA from 1 species